AUGGGCAAAGCAUUCCAUUCAUUCCUUUUCUUAUGAUGACUGAUUGCAAAAGGCUUCCUUGCACAUGUUCUGCUGAGAUGAGGAGGAGGAGAAGGAAGAGAAAAUUGAACAGUGAGCCACAGACGGCUAAUCACGUCCGGAACCAAAAGCACCUGCCCUAUCUGCCUCUACAUUUGGCUCGCCACGCCGAGAGUGGUUGCCAGAUCGUGGACACGGUGCUUCAGAGGAAACCUGGCAACACGCUGAAGAAGUAACAGUAAAUGUGCGCGGUUGCCCAUUGAGUGCUUCGGACAGUGGAUGAUGACCGGUGUGACUACCAGGAUUUUCCUGCCUCUGCGUCAUACUCAAAAAAAUGCUUGCUUUCUUGUAUUCUGUCACAGACAAACGAUAAUAUUUGUAAGAUAGAAAGCUAUGUAACAGAAAGACAAGUACACAGUUUGCAAAGCAAUGUUAAUAAACCGAA